GGAGAUGUAGCUCAGUGGUAGAGCACUUGCCUGGCAUGUGUGAGGCCCUGGGUUCAAUCCUCAGCACCA
rnacentral:tRNA from 1 species